GGCAGGAUCGGCCUCGGAGUGGGCCGGCGGCCCCCUAUGAGAGAGGCCCCGGAUCUAAGCGAAA
rnacentral:snoRNA from 19 species